rnacentral:tRNA from 1 species
GUACAGUCAGCUAAUU